CGCCUCGCACAGGCCCUGGCCGGGCAGGACGGAGCGGGAGCGCCCGGCGGUGCGGAGCGGAGCGGAGCGGGCCAUGCUGCCUGCGGGCUGCGGGCGGCGGCUGGCGGCGGCGCUGGCGGCGGCGCUGGGCGGCGGCGCGGAGCGGCGGCGGGAGCUGGAGCAGCGGGCGGCGCGGAGCCGGGCCCUCCUGCGGCGGGACAGCCAGGACGAUGAAGAGCCGAAGCCAGAGGCCAGCUCCGGGGAUGGAUGUGAGAGCAGGCCUUCACCAAAGGAGCUGGAAGAGCUGGAGCUGCUGAACAGGGCCUUAGAGAAGGCUCUGAAAGUCCGGAAAAGCAUCUCAAAAACUCCGUUAGAGGCCCAAGUAGCUCCAGCAGAGAAACCUGCAGAUGAAGGACCUGCUUUCGAGAAUGCUCAAGAACAGCAAGUGCCUGUGUCUGUCAGAGAUGUCCCUGUGACCAGGGAGGUGAGGGCUGUAAGCAAAAAGCCUGCCUCUUUGAAGAAGCCCGCUCCAUACCAGCUAAGAGCACCUUACAGGACUGACCCAGAUGUGAAAAAAACACAAAGGAGAGCCCCAGCCAGAUGUAUUUCUCAGGGUCCCAGGACAGCUGGGAAGAGCUCUUCAAAAGGGGUGGCUUCCAAACAAGGAAGGAGUCACAGGCCUGCCAACAGUGCCAGUGACCAAGGGGUCUGUGCUGCGACUGAACUCCAAAGGGCACCUGGUUCAUCCAAAUCUGCUCUCAAGGAGCAGCAAAGCUUCUGCAUAAGGGAUUCAUCUGGGGAAAGGAACUUGGUAGCUGCUGGCAGGCAGCUAAUUGAUGCAGGGAAGAAAAGCUGUGGUUCCCGUGGAGAGUCCAGCAGAAAGGAGAACCCAACAGCUGAAGGCAUCUCUGGAGGGAGCACCUCACCUCGGACAGUCACUGUCCAGCAACAGGGAUGCCAGCUGAAGCUACCUCAGCCCUACAGGAAAGCCUAUUCCAGGAACUGCAGGGCAUGGGAGAAAAGCCGUCUCUGCCAAACAAGUGCAGAUGCAGCAGCUGCAAGGAAGCGUUUUACAGAGAGGAUCCAGACUACUUUUUGUUCACCGACGCCAGCACUCAGUCCUGCGGAGAUAGAGGAGGAAUUAAAGGUCCUCCAGGAUGUCCCAUCCCUUCUGAGCCAGUAUAUGGAAGCUGAGCCUGCAGACCAUCCCACUCUGCAAAGAGAGUAUGAAAGCCUGCUAACCUUGGAAGGUUUGCAAACCACAGUCUCCCAAUGCUUGCAUAAGCUGCAGUUUCUGCAAGCAGCUGUGGAGUCCCAGAUGAGGCUGCACCCAGGCUGCACUGGGGAUGUAGGAAACUGCUGUCCCACCUGUGUUCCUGCCAGGGGUCGGGCAUGUGGCAGUGCAGGCACGCUGGCUGUGCCUCUCCUCUGGUACUCCAGUUUCCAGGAGCUGAGGGACCUGUUUGCCUUGAAGCUGCAAGUGUCAAUGCUGCACCAGGAAAUUGCCUUACAAAAGCUCACGAUGACAGAACUCCUGCCUGUCCUGGAGUCCAAGGCAUACCCAGAGGCCUCUGCAGCUCAGCUGUAUCGGGCGAUUUACACCCAGCUCUGUGAAGGCGGCAAGCGAUUCCCUGUGCUGGUGAGAGAUGAGCUGGCAGACUGAUCUGACCCAAGCCAGCUUUCUCUGUGUGACUAGGCAUCUGCCCCUUCAAGAUACCUGAAGGUGGCUGUGUGUGUGACGGCAUGGGAAUUCAUCAGAAAUCUGGGGUGAAGGAAGAAGCUAGAGGCACUUCACCAUCAGAUCGGUGAGACCUGCCACCAGGCAUACCAGCACGCGUGAGGAGCUGCUCGGAGCAGUCUGAUGUAAAUUGGCAGCCACAACAGGGCCUGCACAGGUGUGAAAGGAGUGUGAAAGAGAGACGAAGCCCACAGGAACGUGAUCGCAUGGGCAGGGGUUGCUUCAAGCUCAAAGGAAAGCUGAAAAUGUAGGAGCAGUUGCAGAAGAGUCACCAAGAUGUUGACUGGCAGCCUUAAAGCCAGCGUGCCUUCCCUAUGAGUUGGGCAAGGUUCUGCCGUGGGCUCGCCCAGUGCUUUGUUUAGCUCUGGGGCCAGGAAAGCAGCCGAAGCUGAAAGCCGGUAGCACGAAGGUGUCAGUGGCCUCUCUUCUUCGGAGGCUGAAAACUUCUAAAAAGUUGCUGUGGAUCAGCCCUGCAGCUAGCUGCUGGUAGCACUAUUUCUGAAGUGAAGCAGCCUCUGCAGGCACUGGCCUCCCCUCCUGCGAUGGGAGAUGCUCCGGUGGGGCUCACCGGCAGCAUGAGGACGUGGACCCAGAACAGGAGGAAGAUGUCACCUAGCAACUUGUCAGUGUUGCAGGAGUCUUCGUCGGAGGGGAUGAAGGUGACACUUUGCUGCUAUUUUCAGACCCACACUUCCUGGCGGCUGUUGCUGCUUUAUUCUCCCGGUUUAUUUAUUUAUUUUCUUUUGCUGAAUCAUAGACCCAGAGAACACUUCUGAGGUCACCAGAAUGCUUUCCUCGGGAGGCAAAUCCAAGAUUGUUUGUCCUGAUGUAUUUUGCCGCCUGUUUUCCGUGGCAUACAGUAACUUAAAAUGGAACGUGAGAGGCCACCUGCGCUUCCCUAAUGAAGCUUUCCUGCUGCGACGAGUUUCUUCCCCACUUCUUAUUUUAAAAUUAACGGAGGCGCUCGAGGCUUAACGCUGUCGUUGCCAUCACUGUUUCCCCAGCUGGGCACAGCCCCAGUGUGACUGCAAGCACCGAGGGCUGCAUGCCCUGGCACCACCACUGCCCCCACUCAACCCAUACGAGUUGUUUUUUUUCCCAUUUCCUCCCUUGUGUGCUCCCUCCCUCCAAGUUUGCAGCCUUUUAGCACUUAAGAACUGUCCUUGCAUACUUAGGUAACUUUUGUCAGCUGAAGACAGGCAGCAAUAUUAAAGCUGCUGGAGUUGCAGCUCAGAGAAAGCCCCAGUCCAGGUCUCAGCUGCGAUUUGGGCCAUCUGUGGCAAGGGGCAGUUGCAGCAAAGCCGUUAACGUGGCAUUCACCUGCUGUCACUUCAUUGCAACUGUUUGCUGCAGUCAAAGUUUGUUUAUCAGGGGGCAUACGUGUGCAAUAAAUAGUUAUUCACUAUUUCUUGUCAAGUCUUAAUUUAGGAUAUGGCUCAUGCAUUAACAGUACCAUACC